AUGGGGCUGGGGGAGGGGAGUAGUUGCUGUGUCUUCACUCCGCAACCUGAGAGGCAGGUAGGCUCUUAUCUCCACUGGACAGAUGAGCCAGGGGCCCCGCUCACCCAGCUUUCUGCAGCAGCCUCCCAACCGGUUCCCUGUUCCUCCUCCCCAAGGCAGAGGGACCUUUUUCACCUGUGCCCAGAUCAUGCCUGUCCUCUGCACGAAACCCCCCACCAUCUGCUGGAUGCUCCCUGGUUUUCGGUGUCAGACCCCCANGUUUUCGGUGGCCAGACCCCCAAGUUUUCGGUGGCCAACUGCCAGGGCCAGCUCAGCAGGAUGGGGCUGAAGAACGCGUGCUGUGGAACUUAAGGAAAAAUAGUUAACAUAAAACAAGACACAGAGACAUUUAUCUUUAGUAGAGGUGGGAACCCGGGGGACUCAAGGUCUCAGGGACCAAGAGCACCUCAAGAAUCCACACUGCUUUUAUUGUGCUCUUUAGAUGAGAUCAAGUGAGGAGUGGCUAUGGGUGGAGGAUACAGGGUUUGUUUACUAUUAUAUAAGUUCUUUUACUAUUUAAAAAGCCACUUAGGUGGUAAAGGGUUAAGCUCUUACUCUGACCUCUAGGCACACAACAGUUAAGUCACUUAUGCCUUUAGGUCUUUGUUCUUCAGCUUAAGUCAUUUACCAGCACUGUGACUGUUUUUCAAAGCAGGAAUAUGGGAUAAAGUAAGACAAGAAGAUGGGAUAAGUAAAGAAGGACAGGAUGGAGUUUUCAAGGAAACAUGUCUUGCGACAGCCAACCAGGCCUUACACCAGUGGCCCACAUGGCUCUGUGCCCCCAUCACCUGUCCCUGCCCCACUUACCAAUCCUCCAACUGGCCAGUGCAUUAGGGGCCAGUGCCCUUACCCAUACCUCCCUGUCACCUCCCUCUUUUCAAUUUUUUGCUCAAACGUCCAGGGUCUCAAAAAGUUUGUUUUGUUCAGGUGUCACAAUGAAGCCCAGCCUGACUGCCCUAUUUAAGUUUGAAAUUGCUCAUUCUCCCAGUCCUUUAUUUUGCUCUGUAUUCCUCCAUGACACUUAAGGCCUUCUACCAGUCUAUAUAAUUCCCUUAAUUUAUCACAUUUAUUCUCCUCCACCCCUUCCAUCCACAAGGGCAGGGAUUUGGAUUUUUUUGUCUUUUUAGGGCCACACCUGCAGCAUAUGGAAGUUCCUAGGCUAGGGGUCGAAUCAUGGCUGCAGCUGCCAGUCUACGCUAUAGCCAUAGCAGUGCCAGAUCUGAGCUUCGUCUAUGACCUGCACCAGAGCUCAUGGCAAUAUGGGAUCCUUAACCCACUGAGUGAAGCCAGGGAUAGAACCCACGUCCUCAUGGAUGCUAGUUAGGUUCGUUUCUGCUGAGCCACAACGGGAAUUCUGAUUUUUUUUUUUUUAAAGCAGAUCUUGCAGCCCCUAGAAUAGGGCCUGCUGCAUCAUAGAUGCUCAGUAAAUACAACAAUAUAAAAUAUAAAAGUGUUCCCCUUGUGACUCAGCAGGUUAAGAACCCGGCUAGUAUCCAUGAGGAUUCGGAUGUUGUCUCUGUGAGGAUGCAGGUUCAAUCCUUGGCCUCAAUCCUGGUGAUCAGUGGGGUGACAUGUCACAGCCAGAUCACCCUCACGUCCAAUCCCUGGCCCCGCUCAGUGGGUUAAGGACCCAGCAUUGCCACAAGCUGCGGUGUAGAUUGCAGAUGUGGCUUGGAUCCGGUGUUGCCGUGGCUAUGGCCUAGGCCUCAGCUGCAGCUCUCAUUUGACCCUUAGCCUGAGAACUUCCAUGUGCCACAGGUGCAGCUGCGAAAAAAAAAAAAAAAAAAAAAAAAAUAUAUAUAUAAAAA
rnacentral:lncRNA from 1 species